UACGAAGGGUGCAAGCGUUACUCGGAAUUACUGGGCGUAAAGCGUGCGUAGGUGGUCGUUUAAGUCCGUUGUGAAAGCCCUGGGCUCAACCUGGGAACUGCAGUGGAUACUGGACGACUAGAGUGUGGUAGAGGGUAGCGGAAUUCCUGGUGUAGCAGUGAAAUGCGUAGAGAUCAGGAGGAACAUCCAUGGCGAAGGCAGCUACCUGGACCAACACUGACACUGAGGCACGAAAGCGUGGGGAGCAAACAGGAUUAGAUACCCCCGUA
rnacentral:rRNA from 1 species